CUCCUUUGACGUUAGCGGCGGACGGGUGAGUAACACGUGGGUAACCUACCUAUAAGACUGGGAUAACUUCGGGAAACCGGAGCCAAUACCGGAUAAUAUUUCGAACCGCAUGGUUCGAUAGUGAAAGGUGGUUUUGCUAUCACUUAUAGAUGGACCCGCGCCGUAUUAGCUAGUUGGUAAGGUAACGGCUUACCAAGGCGACGAUACGUAGCCGACCUGAGAGGGUGAUCGGCCACACUGGAACUGAGACACGGUCCAGACUCCUACGGGAGGCAGCAGGU
rnacentral:rRNA from 1 species